rnacentral:rRNA from 1 species
UACGUAGGGUACGAGCGUUAAUCGGAAUUACUGGGCGUAAAGCGUGCGCAGGCGGCUUUGCAAGACAGAUGUGAAAUCCCCGGGCUCAACCUGGGAACUGCAUUUGUGACUGCAAGGCUAGAGUACGGCAGAGGGGGAUGGAAUUCCGCGUGUAGCAGUGAAAUGCGUAGAUAUGCGGAGGAACACCAAUGGCGAAGGCAAUCCCCUGGGCCUGUACUGACGCUCAUGCACGAAAGCGUGGGGAGCAAACAGG